CGUUUGAGACGUUUGUCAAACUCAUCCUUGUUUCGGUAAACAACAGUCACCAGUCUACAAGAGGCAGAAAGAAAAGAUAAACCAACUGGCCAACAUGCUGCGACUAUUGCUACUAGUAACAGUAGCUAUUUCUUAUGUGAACAGCUACAACAACGAAUGUACAUAUAAUGGAAAGAAGUAUACAGGAGUAUUUAAGAUCGACUGCAACACGUGUGUAUGUGACACAAAUAACAAAGCAAUUUGUUCAAAUUUACGUUGUGGUUAUGGGAAGGGGCCUUCAUGUACAUAUCAAGGCAGACGUUACAGAGUAGGACAGACAUUCCAGCAGUCUUGUAAUACAUGUAAAUGCAACUAUGAUGGCCAGAUAAAAUGUGACAACAAAGACUGUCCUAAACGAUGUACUUAUAAAGAAAAGCAGUACCAAGAAGGUGAAGAAUUCAAUGACAACUGUAAUAAAUGUAAAUGUCUUUCUUCUGGAUAUGUUCAGUGUACCAAUAAUGUGUGUCAGUGCCAAUACAAUGGUAAAGACUACAAUAUUGGAGAGAGUUUUAACGAUGGCUGUAAGACUUGCACUUGUCAAACUAGAGGAAUAGUGCAGUGUAACAGUGAUAGAUGUGGAUGUACUUAUAAAAAUGUACAAUAUCAAAUCGGCCAAACCUUCACUGAUGAUUGCAAUACUUGCGAAUGUUUGAACAAUGGUCAGGUUAAAUGUACUAACAAAAUUUGUAAGUGUUACUUCAGAGGAAGAGUAUUAAGUGUGGGCCAGAAAUUUGAAGGGGAUUGUAACAUUUGCUAUUGUAGAGACAACGGUCAGUUAGAAUGUACAAAGAAAAUUUGUCAAUGUACUUAUCAAGGACAGACAUACCGAGUUGGACAAACAUUCAGUAAUGAUUGUAACCAAUGUGAAUGUUUAAGAAGCGGUAUUGUGCAGUGCUCUCUAACAAACCAUGUAAGUGUAUAUACAAUGGAAACACCUACGAAAUAGGGACUACAUUUAAAAAGGACUGUAAUACGUGCACAUGCAAAGCCGAUGGGACAGUAGACUGCACAACCGAUGUUUGUGAAUGUAAGUACAACAACCAGAUAUAUAAAGUAGGAGAAACAUUUAAACAGGGCUGUAAUACGUGCACAUG